UACAGAGGCCCCAAGCGUUACUGAGAAUCCCUGGGUUUAAAGGGUGCGUAGGUGGCGCGUUAAGUCCGUUGUGAAAUCCCUGGGCUCAACCCAGGAAAUGCUUCGGAUACUGGCGUGCUUGAGGCUAGUAGGGGUCACUGGAACUGACGGUGGAGCGGUGAAAUGCGUAGAUAUCGUCAGGAACGCCAAUGGUGAAGACAGGUGACUGGGCUAGAUCUGACACUGAGGCACGAAAGCGUGGGGAGCAAACAGG
rnacentral:rRNA from 1 species